UACGUAGGGACCAAGCGUUGUUCGGAUUUACUGGGCGUAAAGGGCGCGUAGGCGGUGAGAUGCGUCCGUUGUGAAAUCGCCCGGCUCAACUGGGCGGGGUCAGCGGAUACGGUCUCACUUGAGCAAGCUAGGGGGCAAUGGAAUUCCCGGUGUAGUGGUGGAAUGCGUAGAUAUCGGGAGGAACACCAGUGGCGAAGGCGGUUGCCUGGGGCUUUGCUGACGCUGAGGCGCGAAAGCGUGGGGAGCGAUCCGG
rnacentral:rRNA from 1 species